rnacentral:rRNA from 1 species
GACGAACGCUGGCGGCGUGCUUAACACAUGCAAGUCGAACGGAAAGGCCCUGCUUGCAGGGUACUCGAGUGGCGAACGGGUGAGUAACACGUGGGUGAUCUGCCCUGCACUUCGGGAUAAGCCUGGGAAACUGGGUCUAAUACCGGAUAGGAGCCAUUUUUAGUGUGAUGGUUGGAAAGUUUUUUCGGUGUAGGAUGAGCUCGCGGCCUAUCAGCUUGUUGGUGGGGUAAUGGCCUACCAAGGCGGCGACGGGUAGCCGGCCUGAGAGGGUGGACGGCCACAUUGGGACUGAGAUACGGCCCAGACUCCUACGGGAGGCAGCAGUGGGGAAUAUUGCACAAUGGGCGCAAGCCUGAUGCAGCGACGCCGCGUGGGGGAUGACGGCCUUCGGGUUGUAAACUCCUUUCGCUAGGGACGAAGCUUUUUGUGACGGUACCUAGAUAAGAAGCACCGGCUGACUACGUG